AGAGAGAGAGAGAGAGAGAGAUGAACACCGCCAACUAUGCAUGGUGCAUACAAUUUAAGCGAGAGAAUCAACAACUCAAAGAACGAAAUAAACUACUGAUGCAAGUUUGAAGCCUGACCACUGAAAGAAUUAGAACUUCCCACAGGUUAGUGGACGCAUAACACGAUAUCGUCUAUGCAAAAGAAGAAAUACGUACAAUAUUAGUAGAUUCGCCCAAGUAAAUUCAGUAUAUAAUUUUAACAUUAUAUUUUCAUAAUACGGUCACACAAAUGAUAGUAGUAUGUAUCUGCAUUCAUUCAGAUAGCCCACAAGAUUGAGCAGAGCAAUAUUAAUGUACUGUGGAACACACCAAACCUUUUUUUUUAACUCUGUGGAACAUACUGAUGGUAACCAAUUGAUACAGUAUACGGUAUAUAAUGGUGAGUUAAGCCAAUCUCGCUAGAUAAUGCUCUAGCCAAGAACCACAUGCACAGGCCAUUCUUCAUCUCUCUACUCAAAAACUAUACAUUUAGAUACAUUAUAACUGGGCACUCUAGGCAACCUCUCACGCCCUCAUCAUUCUGGAACGUCAGAUUUCGUGUCCUGAUCAUUGUCGGCCGUUUGAUGCGCUUUCUCUGUUCGCGUGGGCUGCUCCUGGGUCCUAGGGCCGCUACACCCGAAACAAAAUCGGAGUCCUCCCAUUCACUACAGGGUUUCCGAUCUCACGUAUGGGCAAUCGUGAUAUGCGCUGGGAAUUUCAUCCCGUUCCACCCGACCUCUUGCCAAUCACCCCGCGAAGGUUGCGCCGCCUCGUUUUCGCCAAGCCGCCAUCCUACUUCUCAUGUCCUUACCAGGGAGGAACUCCUCUCUCAGAUUGGUUGAGGCGGUGCACCAAUGAGGCCGAACCGGAUUUUUUUUUCCUUCGUGUCGUGCCGCCGCUGGAUCCAACCUCGCUUGAGCACCCCGCCGGAGGUAUGGAGAGUUCCUCCCCGAUCCACCACUCAAAACCGAGUCGGGACACGACGAGAAGGAUGUGUUGUCGCCCUCAAUCUCUUUUUGUUCAAAGACACAGGUGACCGGUGGCAGAGUUACCAUGGCGAGGUUCCAGUCGUCCACGAUGAGAUUUCUAAGAUUUCAUUGGUGUCCCGUGCGCCGACGAGCGACCAGAGGCAAGCGGAAGAGGGAGGUUCUUUGAUGGCAAGAGGAGCAAUGGCGGCAGCCUAUCUUCCUGGUGGGACCCACUCAUAGAGGUGAAAAAAUGCCACUCUCCCACGUUAACAUGGGGCUUUUUUGUGAAAAUAUAUAUUUCGAGGGUGUUUUCCAAAAAAUCAGGCCACACACCCAUUCUCCGUAGUGCAGCGGCUGACAGUGGGGCCCACGCGCCUAGUCAGCACCUACUCCGUACAUAAACGAGGUUAAUGCCCUUCCUGCCAAGAUACACCAUCGAUUACUUAUCGAUUGAUGUCAUCCACCAUGCAAGCACAAUUGAUUUUAUUUUCUUUUGAAAGAAACUGGGAGUUGUGCACAUCCAGCAUAGGUAAGCCUUCUAUAUUAUUCUUUGUGGAACUUGAAUGGUAUUUACACAACAAAGUGAAAUAUA